rnacentral:rRNA from 1 species
AUACGGAGGAUGCGAGCGUUAUCCGGAUUUAUUGGGUUUAAAGGGUGCGUAGGCUGUGCGUUAAGUCAGGGGUGAAAUGCCGUCGCUCAACGACGGAGCUGCCCUUGAUACUGGCGUGCUGGAGUACGGAUGCCGUUGGAGGAAUGAGUGGUGUAGCGGUGAAAUGCUUAGAUAUCAAUCAGAACACCGAUGGCGAAGGCAUCUGACGAAUCAUUAACUGACGCUGAGGCACGAAAGCGUGGGGAUAGAAAAGGAUUAGAUACCCGGGUAUUCCACGCCGUAAGCGAUGAUGACUAACCGUCGGCGAUAGACAGCCGGUGGCCAAGCGAAAGCGAUAAGUCAUCCACCUGGGGAGUACGUCGGCAACGAUGAAACUCAAAUGAAUUGACGGGG